CGAGGGGCAUCGGGAGGGAAGCUUGCUUUCCUUGCCGGCGACCGGCGCACGGGUGAGUAACACGUAUGCAACCUGCCCUCUUCAGGGGGACAACCUUCCGAAAGGGAGGCUAAUCCCGCGUAUAUCGGUUUCGGGCAUCCGUUAUCGAGGAAAGAUUCAUCGGAAGAGGAUGGGCAUGCGGCGCAUUAGCUUGACGGCGGGGUAACGGCCCACCGUGGCGACGAUGCGUAGGGGUUCUGAGAGGAAGGUCCCCCACACUGGUACUGAGACACGGACCAGACUCCUACGGGAGGCAGCAGUGAGGAAUAUUGGUCAAUGGGAGAGAUCCUGAACCAGCCAAGCCGCGUGAGGGAAGACGGCCCUAUGGGUUGUAAACCUCUUUUGUCGGAGAACAAAACCCGGGACGAGUCCCGGACUGCGUGUAUCCGAAGAAAAAGCAUCGGCUAACUCCGUGCCAGCAGCCGCGGUAAUACGGAGGAUGCGAGCGUUAUCCGGAUUUAUUGGGUUUAAAGGGUGCGUAGGCGGUCCGUUAAGUCAGCGGUAAAAUUGCGGGGCUCAACCCCGUCGAGCCGUUGAAACUGGCAGACUUGAGUUGGCGAGAAGUACGCGGAAUGCGCGGUGUAGCGGUGAAAUGCAUAGA
rnacentral:rRNA from 1 species